rnacentral:rRNA from 1 species
GAUGAACGCUGGCGGCGUGCCUAAUACAUGCAAGUCGAGCGAACAGACGAGGAGCUUGCUCCUCUGACGUUAGCGGCGGACGGGUGAGUAACACGUGGAUAACCUACCUAUAAGACUGGGAUAACUUCGGGAAACCGGAGCUAAUACCGGAUAAUAUAUUGAACCGCAUGGUUCAAUAGUGAAAGACGGUUUUGCUGUCACUUAUAGAUGGAUCCGCGCCGCAUUAGCUAGUUGGUAAGGUAACGGCUUACCAAGGCAACGAUGCGUAGCCGACCUGAGAGGGUGAUCGGCCACACUGGAACUGAGACACGGUCCAGACUUCUACGGGAGGCAGCAGUAGGGAAUCUUCCGCAAUGGGCGAAAGCCUGACGGAGCAACGCCGCGUGAGUGAUGAAGGUCUUCGGAUCGUAAAACUCUGUUAUUAGGGAAGAACAAAUGUGUAAGUAACUAUGCACGCCUUGACGGUACCUAAUCAGAAAGCCACGGCUAACUACGUG